UGGGGGAUCGUCUAAUGGUAGGACAGCGGCCUUUGAAGCCGUGAAUUCAGGUUCGAAUCCUGGUCCCCCAG
rfam:Candidatus Falkowbacteria bacterium RIFOXYA2_FTLL_47_9 rifoxya2_full_scaffold_399, whole genome shotgun sequence.